AGUGAACACUCGUAUAACUUUCACCCCAGUUACAAAGAGAACAGCGCCACCCUCUCGGAAGCUCCCUUUGCUUCUACCUUAAGCACAUUUCUCUUCUCAUUCUUCCUGACAGAGUGUUUCUUUUGCUGCCUUUAAGGACCUGCCUCUCUGAUGAAAAUGGACUUCCUAACUCUGUGAUACCGUGGAAUCUUAGAGAGGAUGUCACUGCACCCUGCCCACCAAUUUGAUGUGGUUUAAGGUGCCAGCUGCUGAUAUCUGCAGGCUGCUAACAUGACUGCUUAACCACCUAUCUUGGAACAGCUUGAAAAGAAGAAGCCACCUACUAGAAAUAUCCAAUGCCAUGUAACCCACUGCUAGAGUACCUGCACAUGAAGAGACCCAUGGAGAGGACAAAACUUAGCCCAAAGGAAUG
rnacentral:lncRNA from 1 species